rnacentral:rRNA from 1 species
GAUGAACGCUGGCUACAGGCUUAACACAUGCAAGUCGUGGGGAAACGGCAUUAUGUGCUUGCACAUUCUGGACGUCGACCGGCGCACGGGUGAGUAUCGCGUAUCCAACCUGCCCCUUACUUGGGGAUACCCCGUUGAAAGACGGCCUAAUACCCGAUGUGUUUCAUUGACGGCAUCCGAUAUGAAACAAAGGUUUUUCCGGUAAGGGAUGGGGAUGCGUCUGAUUAGCUUGUUGGCGGGGCAACGGCCCACCAAGGCAACGAUCAGUAGGGGUUCUGAGAGGAAGGUCCCCCACAUUGGAACUGAGACACGGCCCAAACUCCUACGGGAGGCAGCAGUGAGGAAUAUUGGUCAAUGGACGCAAGUCUGAACCAGCCAAGUAGCGUGCAGGAUGACGGCCCUAUGGGUUGUAAACUGCUUUUAUGUGGGAAUAAAUUGGCGCACGUGUGCGCCAUUGCAUGUA